UACGUAGGGUCCGAGCGUUGUCCGGAAUUAUUGGGCGUAAAGGGCUCGUAGGCGGUUUGUCACGUCGGGCGUGAAAACUCAGGGCUCAACCCGUGAGCGUGCGUCCGAUACGGGCAGACUAGAGGUAUGCAGGGGAGAACGGAAUUCCUGGUGUAGCGGUGGAAUGCGCAGAUAUCAGGAGGAACACCGGUGGCGAAGGCGGAUUCUCUGGGCAUUACCUGACGCUGGGGUGCGAAAGCAUGGGGAGCGAACGAGG
rnacentral:rRNA from 1 species